AAAGGACGGGCGUCCAAAUAAUGCCUCGCGCUAUUCCCUGUACGUCAAGCUGUGACCCCCGCUAUGGUAGGGGUAGCCUCGGAGCCUUUGCUCCUGCAGGAGUACGUGCACGGAAACUGUGGGGGU
rnacentral:ncRNA from 1 species